AAAAAAAAAAAAAACCCACAAUGAAAAUAACGCUGUGCUAUUGUCCUUUUAUCCUGAGAUCUGUUUACAGAGGAUCCCACAGCAGGACCUGCCUGGAUCAUCCCCUCCAUACGCAGCGUUUAUUUUUAACGCAGUGUUUUCCAUAUGCCAGGAAAAAAAUAUAUAUAUAUAUAUAUCGAUGCAUCCCGUUAUGCAAGCGUUGUUACCAGGCUGCAAAUUAUAUGCUGGGUUAUGAAAUAAAUAAAUAAGGCAAAAAUAAAAAAAAUUAAAAAAUCACCCAACCCACCCUAUUUCUGAAAAUAGACACAAGGGAGCUCUGACAGCAUCCAUCCCAUCAGCAGCGUGGAUUACAGCAUCCUGCAGCCCUGGUUUUCCAGAUGGAAUUAAGGAUUUUUGCCCAGCUCUGACUUGGAGCAGUUUAUUUUCUUCUUUAUUUCACUGGGGUGUUGAUUGGAGCCCAUAGGUGCGUGCUUUAUUUAAAAAUAUUUAUAUAGAAGAAAGCAGGAGGCGUCCGUCUGUCAGGGAAGCUCACGGACAUCAGCAAAGGGUGAGGGGAAUAUCUUCUGAAAUUAAAUACGCCCCUUAAUUCUGUGUAAGGUCAAACUUUCCCUCACAGAUUUCAUCUGCUUAAUGCGAGUGGCUGCACGCAGUGAUGCUGAGGAGACCUGAUCCCCUUUUCUCGACCCUGUUUUAAGAACAUCACGGAACCUCCUCAUUUUGUGGAGGGGGGGGGGAAGAAAAAAAUGGAAUAAAAAAUAAAAGGGGGUUAAAAAAUGAGCAAACGGAGGAUGUUUUCCUCACAGAAAGGGGAGGGGGAGGCAGGCGGCCGCGCGGCACAGCGCCGCCCGCGGUACUGCAGGGCCCCGCCCGCUGCUCGCUUCACAAAAUGGCGCCCGGCGGGGCCGCGCCGAGCGGUGCUGAGGCGACAAAAUGGCGGCGGGCGGGCAGCGAGGGAAGGGCCUCAGGGCCCCUCGUUCCCCUCCCGUCCCGUUUUGAGGUGUUUUUCCCCUCGUAGCGUGAAGAUUUUGGGGGGUUGCAGUCUUUGCUGUCCUCACCGCGUGGAAAAUGCCAAAAAAACCAAAACAAAACAACACCAAAAAAGCCCUGAACAGCCGAGGACUGAAGGAAGGAACUGCCUCCUCACAGCCACCAUUCUGGGAAAUGCAGGAUUGUUUGUGUAACUCCCACUCUGCAGCAGAUAGCUUCUCUAUCACCAUGACUUCAAAAUGCACAGUCCAAGCAGUGGGCAAGGAGAGCAGGUAUUGGCACCUCCUCAUUAGCCUUCAUCAAUGAGAAUAUUGGGCUUUGGUGUUGUGUGAGUGCCGCUGGCUGACCAGUGGAGGGGCCCUACCCUGCUAAGCUGGAGUAACACUUUCUGAGCAGUGAUUUCAUUGCCUGGUUGCUGCAGUGAUUUGGAGCACAGCUGUGACUUUAUGUUUUUCUGGCAAAAAUUUAGCUGAGGGUCACGAUACCCUGAUACCCCGUAGGAAUUGUGCUACUUUUCUCUGGCAGUUUGGGAUAACUGUUUCCUUGGGAGUGUUGGACUUCUAUCACUGCAUGCUUUGGAUUGAAGAGUUACCAGAAUGACAUCUGUGAGGUUUCCAAGCUAAACAAAACCUGAAUUUCUAGUGCAAAAAGCAAGUGAGUGAUAGAAACCUCUGCUCCUCUUCCUUAUGGGCGGAACUGCAGCCUUUUAAGCUUUCCUAUUACACCAAAGAGGUAGAAAAAGCAUAAGCGUGCAUUGUGAGUUCUGCAGUGCUAUUGGUGACGUAAAGUGAAAGCCAAAGCUAGCUAAGAAACUGUUCUCCUUUUCAAUACAGUAGGUCUCCAUGCACAAGUACUUUUCUUCUUUGCCUUUCCCUGAAGUGAGAGAGCAGUAGCACAAGUGUGCAUUCAGUCUGCUUCACUUAGAACACAGUGAUGCGACUUCAAUGCCAACAUGGUGAAUCAAAAGCACUGAAGAUAGCUGGCUUGCUAUUUAUUUUGCUCUGGGUGUGACAAUCAGAUGUGAUUGGGAAUGUGAAGAAGAGCAGCUUUCAACUCACAGGGUUGCACUGUUUUAAACCUUUGUCCUGGAACAUCUCCAGCCAGAUUUCUGUCAUUCCUGCUGGGCGUUGCAUGUGAGGCUUUUCAUGGAGAGGUAAUGCACUGCAACUGUGUGUUAAACAUGGCAACAUACAGGAUACAGAGUGAUCUCUCCAGUCCUAGGAGCCUGGAAGACAGAAGCCCUCUGCCUAGGGGAUGAAAUGCUUCACAUUUGGAAAAAACUAGCAGGUUUUCUUUUGUCUGCAGCUGUCUGUGACAGCUCCUUGACUGCGGAUGUCCUUCCAGCCAGGCUGCCUGCAGUGUGACAGCAGUGACCCUGCAUGAGGUUUCUUUGAAGGACGUGGGAGACCGUGUGGUUUUUUUUUUUAGUCCCUCAGAGGUGCUUCCCUGGCAGGGAGGGAGGAAAAUGUUUGGAAAUGCUGUCAUAGGAGGCAUGCUUACCUGGCUAGGGGAAAACUUGGUGUGGAAAAGCCAGCUGGCACACGGGUUGGGGAAGGAGAGGUUCCUUUCUCUCCAAAAUGGAAUCCCUUAAGGAAGGUACCAGUAGUUACUGCUCUUGGGGUUUCUGACCCAUUAAAUCAAAAAGCUGA